CAACGAGUUAUUAUUGCUAGUGGGCUGAGUCGUUACAUUUGGCAUCAGAGCCGGUUCACCAGCUGGACAUGUGUGGCGAGUCUCGGCUGAGCCAGGGUCUGGAUGACGGGCUAGCGAGACGAGUCUCACAUCGCUUAGUGAUCUUGGGCUGUGUGUGAUUGGACUGACGAGGACGUUAGGGCCUUAACGGGGGGAGUCUGUGACACCCCAAUAGUCCCACAUCGGAUGGGAAUAGGGUUGUCAUUGAGUUUAUAAGAGACUUAGACACUAGUAAUAAUAACUGGGCUUAAGCAUUUUGGGCUGUUGGCUGGGCCCAAUGAGUUAUUGUUGCUAGUGGGCUGGGUCGUUACAUUUGGUAUCAGAGCCGGUUCACCAGCUGGACAUGUGUGGCGAGUCUUGGCUGAGCGAGAGUCUGGAUGACGAGCUAGCGAGACGACUCUCACAUCGCCUGGUAAUGGUCCUGGCCUGUCUGUCUGUGACCUGGUUUGGACCCGACGAAGACGGUCUAAACAGGGGGAGUUUGUAACGCCCCCAAUAGUCCCACAUCGGAUGGGAUACUGAUUCUGAUUAGUUUAUAUGAGGCCUACACGCUAAUAAUAAUAACUGGGUUUAAGCAUUUUGGGUUGUUGGCUAGGCUCAACGAGUUAUUAUUGCUAGUGGGCUGAGUCGUUACAUUCCUACGACAAUCUAUAGUCUUAGGUCCAAGACCUCACUUUUCACUUGACCAAAAGGUCCAAACUGACAAUAACAACUGAGCUAGACAAUUUGUCUCCUCAAACUUAAUCCGGUACCAACAGACCACCAAAAGCUCCUUGCAAGUCCAUCGCUUGAUGCACAGGUCGCCAAUCGCACAUGCGAUAACAACCAUCGGUGAUGCUCAACACCUAUCUCUACGAGACCCUGUCGCUGCCGUCCUACAAGGGACCCUAGCGAUCAAUGUUCCCAUCAACACUCAAAUACCUGUCUCAUUGAGACCCAGGCGCACCUGUCACCAAUUUGACUGGACAAGCAUACCAUUCCAAGAUUUGCACGUUAAGUCAAGUCGCAAACCUUACACGCUAUCACAUACCAUGGUGAUCAAAGCCAAUAACAAGGCCCAAGUCACUCAACGACUAAUUCUGAACCUCACGGCAACAAAUCGAGACUACUGACCAAACAAACCUUCAGCUGUGGAAAGGCACAACAAUAGAACCAACGAUCACCUAAACUCGUACCAGAGUCAAAACCAUCAGCAGUGACGAUAAAUCAACUGCGCAAAACCUGCCAAGGAAUAACCCAAGGCUCGCUACAAGGUCAGAGACGACCAUCACUCAACCGUUCUCAUAAGACAACUAGAGAAAACACCGACCUAAUCCAAAAGUCCUAAACAGGGAAAGGGUAUUUUGUCCUAUCUUUUGAUAAGUACAUUAGACAGUACAUUGUCUACAGCUAAUGUACUUAUCAAAAGAAAGCGAAAUAUCCGAGAUCCACUACCAACAACAAGUUCGAAGCGCGACACAUCGAAGUAUCAAGUUACCUGAUACCUCGUCACUGAACCAAGAAUUCACAACCAUUACUAUCGAACCAGUCGACAUUCGAAAUCAGAAUGACCCUGAACCGACUCACAGGAAGUCCUAAAACUUUCAACAUCCGAAAGCUGCUAGCGACACGAAGCCGCGAACAUGUCCAGCUGGUGAAUCAGCUCUAAUACCAAAUGUAACGACCUAGCCUACUAGCAACAAUAACUCGUUGGACCCAACCACCGGCCCAAAAUGCUUAAGCCCAGUUAUUAUUACUAGUGUCUAAGUCUCUUAUAAACCCAAUGACAACCCCUUUCCCAUCCGAUGUGGGACUAUUGGGGUGUCACAGACAUGCAACACGAGGACUUCCCAGGGGGUCACCCAUCCUAGUACUACUCUCGCCCAAGCACGCUUAACUGCGGAGUUUGGAUGCGAUCAUACUAGCACUAAAGCGCCGGAUCCCAUCAGAACUCCGUAGUUAAGCAUGCUUGGGCGAGAGUAGUACUAGAAUGGGUGACCCCCUGGGAAGUCCUCGUGUUGCAUGUCUGUGACUCCCCAAUAGUCCCACAUCGGAUGGGAAAGGGGUUGUCAUUGGAUUUAUAAGAGACUUAGACACUAGUAAUAAUAACUGAGCUUAAGCAUUUUGGGCCGGUGGUUGGGCACAACGAGUUAUUGUUGCUAGUGGGCUGGGUCGUUACAUUUGGUAUCAGAGUCAGUUCACCAGCUGGACAUGUGUGGCAAGUCUCGGCUGAGCCAAGGUCUGGAUGACGGGCUAGCAAGACGAGUCUCACAUCGCCUGGUGAUCUUGGGCUGUGUGUAUGAUUGGACUGACGAGGACGUCAGGGCCUUAACGAGGGGUGUCUGUGAC
rnacentral:lncRNA from 1 species